ACGAACUCUCCCCACCUCGAACGAAUUGAAGUAAUACGGAUAAUUAUUCUCAUUCUUCGAGAACUACGCUAGAGUACACGGAAAGGUUAGAACGCGAAGCAAUGCGGUAAAGCGAAACUAUCGGUCUCUAGCUUGGCCGGAUCAACUCGUCAAACUCACAUGGCCAAUAUGGCCUCUUCGAUAGAGCGAAGAUGAUAGAGCUUUGCGGUUGAAUUCGAGAUCUACCUGUCCUAGAGCUUUGCAAAAGCUGCGCUUACCUUCACUUCUUCGUCAGCGGCUUCAGGAAUAAAUCACAAUGGCCAAGGUCAAAGCCAAUAUUGCCCUGUGUACCUCGCAGGUUCAUCCUGGUGCUUAUGGAGAGUAUCGUCUCGAAGCACAAAUUUGUCCAGAUGAGGGCCCGCUUGGACGACAAACUAGAGCUCUGGAAGUUUGACCCUUACAUCCAGAAGUACAGCAUAUACAAGGAAGUCAAGAAAGUCAGGAGUAUAAAGUGAUCGGAGGUCGUCUGGAUAUUUCACUUCAAUUGUACAGUGCCCAAUAAAUAGUUUCAUGUUAUA